rnacentral:rRNA from 1 species
GUGCCAGCAGCCGCGGUAAUACGAAGGGUGCAAGCGUUACUCGGAAUUACUGGGCGUAAAGCGUGCGUAGGUGGUUUGUUAAGUCUGUUGUGAAAGCCCCGGGCUCAACCUGGGAAUGGCAAUGGAUACUGGCAAGCUAGAGUGCGGUAGAGGGUAGUGGAAUUCCCGGUGUAGCGGUGAAAUACGUAGAUAUCUGGAGGAACACCGGUGGCGAAGGCGACAUCCUGGACCAACACUGACGCUGAGUGAGCGAAAGCCAGGGGAGCAAACGGGAUUAGAUACCCCGGUAGUCCUGGCCCUAAACGAUGAAUGCUUGGUGUGGCGGGUAUCGAUCCCUGCCGUGCCGAAGCUAACACAUUAAGCAUUCCGCCUGGGGAGUACGGUCGCAAGGCUGAAACUUAAAGGAAUUGACGG